rnacentral:lncRNA from 1 species
GCUCCUCAGAGUGACAUUGUGGCCCUAUGAGUGUUCAAGGCUCUUACUGUGCUGCUCACUGUAGUCUCAAACUCAUCUCUGAAACCAUGCUGCCUCUUCACAUCAUGAGAAGCUAACAUACAGAUGCAAACCACAACACUCAGCUGAUGGUCACCACAGAAGCCAUAAUUCCCCCAGCAUCAUGUGAAGCUCACAACAGACACAGACCGCCACUUGCUGCUGAUGGUAUUGUAAAACUACAUGGUCUCUGACUUUCAUUUUUGAAUUUUGAUUGUCUGUGUAUAAAAUCAAUUAGAAAUUUAGAUUUUCUCAUGUAGUAUUGGUUUGCUGAGUUAGGAUUAGACUUGGUCAUAUUCAUAAUUCCUUGUUUUCUAUACAUUACAAAAUCAUUUUCUUUGCAUUAAGCAUCACAUACUUAAGAAGCAAAAGACCUAGUAUUAAUAUUCUUAUAUAAUCUUCCCAAGAGUGCCGUCAUUUCUUUUCUCCAACUUCUCUCAGAUUCAUCCCAAGUGCAAACAAACUUCAGAUACUCUAGAUUAAGUGGGAGCACUAAAGCUGACUCACUUCCACAUUCUCUAUCCCUUUCUUCACUACCAAAGUAGAGUAAAAGUAAAUAAAUGAAAAUCAAAAUAGCA